rnacentral:rRNA from 1 species
CCCGGCGGCCAGAGAGAUGAGGUAACACCCGUUCCCAUUCCGAACACGGAAGUGAAGAGCAUCUUCGGCGAGGGUACUGCGGGGUUAGCCCGUGGGAGAGUAGCGCGCCGCCGGGA